AACGAACGCUGGCGGCAGGCCUAACACAUGCAAGUCGAGCGGACCCUUCGGGGUUAGCGGCGGACGGGUGAGUAACGCGUGGGAAUAUGCCCUUCUCUACGGAAUAGUCUCGGGAAACUGGGGGUAAUACCGUAUACGCCCUUUGGGGGAAAGGAUUUAUCGGAGAAGGAUUAGCCCGCGUUGGAUUAGGUAGUUGGUGGGGUAAUGGCCGUACCAAGCCGACGAUCCAUAGCUGGUUUGAGAGGAUGAUCAGCC
rnacentral:rRNA from 1 species